rnacentral:rRNA from 1 species
UACGUAGGGGGCAAGCGUUAUCCGGAAUUACUGGGUGUAAAGGGAGCGUAGACGGUUAAGUAAGUCUGGAGUGAAAGGCCGGGGCCCAACCCCGGGACUGCUCUGGAAACUAUUGAACUUGAGUGCAGGAGAGGUAAGCGGAAUUCCUAGUGUAGCGGUGAAAUGCGUAGAUAUCACGCAGAACCCCGAUUGCGAAGGCAGCGUACCGGCGCCCAACUGACGCUGAAGCACGAAAGCGUGGGUAUCGAACAGG